GAUGCAGCUUCUGAUGCU
rnacentral:miRNA from 1 species